GAUGAAUUAGGGGGGGGGCUUCUCAAGGCCUGGCGGGGGGGAGUUGAGGAGGAUGCAAAAUCUGCCCACACCCCGUCCCUCUCCAAACACGGUGGCCCCAGGAGAGCAUCCCAGGGGAGAGCACCCUCCCUGGCCCACUGCCGCGCUCCCGUGAGAUGAAACCUCAUCAUCAUCCUCUUAGUGACAACAAAUUUUGCAUUAAUUGGCUCAUUUAAGUGCUGGGCUGAUUUUCUAAGCCUCUCCCUCCCCCCCCCAACCUGGCGGCCACCAAAGCAGGAUUAGCGGGGUCUAACGACUUUGGAGACCAAGAUCCCAGAAGCAGCUGGAGAUACUUUCCAGAGGAGACCCCCGUGGCUCGCAGGGAGCCCUGGGCGGGCAGGGGGCUGUGUGGGGUGUGGGGCUGCUUUGUGCCCAGCCAGGAUCAGUGCCCAGAUGGCCCGUGUCCGUGAUCCCAGGGAUUUUCGGGCGGAGGCAAUCGCCUGAGCUGGUUGAAGCCACGACAGGGCGUUCAGGGAAGGAUGAAGGUAAUACCCAGAGCUGGAAACCGAUCAAAACCCCUGGGGCUAAUAACUUGCUCUUCUUUAAUACCUUCUUAAUAAUCUUCACAGUGGCCGCGGGCAAUCGGGGUCUCAAAUUUAUAACCAAAAGAUUAAUUCAAGGGGCUGGAGUCGCUCGGGAGAAGGGACCUGGGCUCCCAGAGCCAUCAGCCCCGGGGUGCUGCGCUGGUGCCUGGUCCCAUCCUCAUCCCACCGCGCUGGGUUGGAGCAUCAUCCCUGCUGUGGGUUGGGUUUUUUGGGAGCAGGAGCCCCCUGUGCAAGGGGCUGCACAGGUUUUGCUCCUUGUUUCCCCAGCACCAGCCCCGAUGGGUGGGAAAAGGUGCAGCAACCACAGAAAGAGGAUAUUUGAUGGAGCCGUGGUAUCAGGAAAAGCUCAGGAGGAAGAGGAUGGGAGAGACGAGUUGUUUUUCUCUCUGUUGGGCCUGGCAGAGCGCAUCCCACGUGCCCAGGGACAACCAUGUCCUCUGGGAAGCCGGAGAGGAGACAAAACCCUCUUCUGCUCCAUGCAAAUCCCAGCCCACAGCCGGCGUCGCGGGAGCUCAGAUGCAAAACAAGCAGGGCCAUCACGUCAUCCUCCCACCGUGUCCCUCACUGUGUCCCCGACACCAGCUCACCCUGUCCCCAGCCCCAGCAGAGUCCCUCGUGCUCCGGGAAGGGACAGGGACAUCGUGAGGGCUGUAAAAAGGCAAGAGCAGUUUCGGUUUCUCCUGCAAUAAAACUCUCCUGGCUUGGUUCCUGGCC
rnacentral:lncRNA from 1 species